rnacentral:lncRNA from 1 species
GAUGCAAAAGGCCCCUCAUCCACCCUCAGAUUGGUUCUUGUAUACAUUGAACGCAACAAAGAACAUUUAUAUGAAGAUAAUACUUGUGUUGAAAGGGUGGCAUGAGUCUUAUUAUGUAUGUAUGCAUCAGACUCCAAUAGGAUCUUAACAUAAGCAUUUUAAAUGUGAAGAUCUACUGGUUACAGGAAGAAGUUUCCAUUUGAGCAUGCUUAUUAGAAUAGUUAAUUUGUUAUUCUGAUGGUUUAUCACAUUGUUUCAACUAUUUAUUUUAUUGACUAGAUGCUAUAGAAAUGCCUUGCAGGGCAGACCUA